GUGGGGAAUUUUGGACAAUGGGCGCAAGCCUGAUCCAGCAAUGCCGCGUGCAGGAAGAAGGCCUUCGGGUUGUAAACUGCUUUUGUACGGAACGAAACGGUCCUGGUUAAUACCUGGGGCUAAUGACGGUACCGUAAGAAUAAGCACCGGCUAACUACGUGCCAGCAGCCGCGGUAAUACGUAGGGUGCAAGUGUUAAUCGGAAUUACUGGGCGUAAAGCGUGCGCAGGCGGUUUUGUAAGACAGGCGUGAAAUCCCCGGGCUCAACCUGGGAAUUGCGCUUGUGACUGCAAGGCUGGAGUGCGGCAGAGGGGGAUGGAAUUCCGCGUGUAGCAGUGAAAUGCGUAGAUAUGCGGAGGAACACCGAUGGCGAAGGCAAUCCCCUGGGCCUGCACUGACGCUCAUGCACGAAAGCGUGGGGAGCAAACAGGAUUAGAAACCCGGGUAGUCC
rnacentral:rRNA from 1 species